rnacentral:misc_RNA from 1 species
AUGGAUUUCAAUCGAAGCUUCACAUCGAACCUCGGGAGCGCUGGAAGUGCUAAAUCACAACAGAGUAUGUUCAAAGCACUCCGCCGGCUUCAUGGACAGAACUUGGAGAGCCGAGGGCUUCAUGAUAUGACUGAAGCAUUUCAGUCAUUUGUCACAAGGGCACGGUUUUUCAGUAUUGGAAAAUUGAGGCGAACUUGGUCCCACUCUGCCGCAGAGUUUAUGAAAUAUCGACGACUUUUACCAAUGUUACUCGCCGAUGGAGAUGCAUUUGAUGGAGGAGAAACAGACGAUUUCGAUGCAUCUAUCGCUUUCCAACAUACUUCUCGUGAUGAUCGAAAAAUCGUGGUUUCGAAUAUUUCUGCUAAAGUCACCCAAUCACAGCUUCAAUCCUUCUUUUCUCAAUAUGGAAAAAUAACCAGCUGCAUUCUGCCUCGCGAAGAGAAAAAGACAUCAGUGUUCGGAACACUUCCAAAGCAUUCCAGAAAUUGUGGAACUGCUACUAUUACUUUUAAAAAGUCUGAGCAUGCUGAUCGCGCGAAAAAUGCGAAUCCUGAAGAGUUGAAGUUUUAUGAUCAAGUUAUGGUUGUCUCAGCUUAUGUAUCGAAAAAACGUGGAGGUAAAGGUCUCGUGCUCAGUGAUGAUGUUGGAAGUCGUGAAGAUACUCCAUUGUCCCGUGCUUCAUCUACACAGUCGUUAGCUUCAGGAUCCGAGCAAUCAUUCAAUUUGGGAAACGUCCCGGAUAAAAUUCUUAGAAGGGUCAUCUCAUUUUUACCAAUUCACGAAACAAUUCGAUUGGAACGAGUUAAUAAAAAGUUCAUGGAAGAAUCAAUUAAAUCCUGGGAACUUGUCAAUAAAAUUGCAUUGGCAAGAGAAACUGUAUUCAACAAGCAACGACCAAUGAGAACAAGUCAUCUUAAAAUGAGUUUGAGCUGAAAUUUAAAAAAAUUAGUUUUAAAAAGUUAAUAAAAAAUAAAAAAUUUCAGGCGAUUCUUACUCGUGCUGGUGCACACUUGAGGUCACUUGAUGUUUCUGGAAUUGUGCAUCUUCUUGAUGAUCGCCGAGCACUUAAAGUCAUCGCAACAUGCUGUCCGAAUUUAGUUGAUCUUGAUAUUAGUGGAACUCAUGCUCAGGCUGAAGCUCUCGAAGAACUUGGAGAAUCACUUUCACAUUUAGAACAGCUAUCUUAUAGAGGAAUGGAAACAACUGGAGACAAGGCAUUCUACUUUUUACUUAAAAACUGUGGUCAUUCACUUAAAUUUGUGGAUUUACGAAAUUCAAAACGGCUCCACGGACGAUCAUUCAAAUUAUUCGGGUCACAACUGGAAAGUUUAUAUUUGGAUGGAUCAUCAAAAGUAGAUGAGAUGGCUUUUGAAGAUUUAUGCACCAGUUGUGGAGGUCUCAAAGAAUUACGGAUCAAUGAAUGCUAUAAAAUCACAGAUGAGAAUCUGAGUAUGAUCGCUAGAAGAAUGGAAGAUCUUUCAAUCUUAACAUUAUGUGGGGAUGGAUUCAAAAGUUUAACGUCAGCCGGAUUGAUUCAUAUUAGUCACAUGAGAAAUAUUACAGAAUUGGCCCUUGACUACAACGCUCUUGUUAAUGAUGAGCUUCUUAUCUCAAUAUCAGCUGGUCUACCGCUUCUUUCAUCACUCAGUCUUGCUAACGCUGGAAACGAUUCGUCGAUCACUGCAGAAGGAGUUUCAGCGAUUAAAAAUCUAAAAGAACUGACUCAGCUUGAUGCAUCGUCGCUGGCAGCUGUCAAUUCAAAAGUUUUAGAGCAACUGGGCUCACUGAAAAAGUUGGAAAUUAUUCAACUGAGAAAUUGCACAUAUCUUGGUGAUGAUGGUGUGCGUGCGAAGCUUAGAAUGCCAAAUAUCCGCCACGUGGAUCUAAGUGGUUCAAUUUUAGUAUCAAAUGACUCGAUUCAACAGUUUAUCAAAGCAUUCCCAUCAGGACCAAAGCUUCCACCAAUCACCCUCGUUGUCGGUGGAACUGCCGCUGAUGCUUCAAAGUUGUCAGUUCGAGGAUCAAGAGUAGUCGUCGACUUUUCCGAUUAUUCCACGAUUGUCACGAUGCAGACAAGCCAAUGUUCGUCAUCCAAGUUUGCCAUUGGAGGAUCAGCGUCAGACGCUGAAGGCUCGGAUGAUGAAUUUGAAGCAUUGACCGCACAAAGAAGUUUCUACAUUGAUGCUGUCUGUGGAGAAGAAGAAUCACCAAUUACAGACGAUGGAAAAUUGGCGGAAUGGGCUGAAAAAGAAGCAAGAAGCCUCGGGCUUAUUAAGGAUUAA